GGUAACCUGGACCGUGCAAAGGUAGCAUAAUCAUUAGUUUUUUAAUUGAAAGCUGGUAUGAAUGGUUGGACGAGGGAGUAGCUGUCUCAAUUUGAUUUUAUUAGAACUUUAUCUUUAAGUAAAAAAGCUUAAAUGCAUUUAAAAGACGAGAAGACCCUAUAGAGUUUUAUAUUUAUUAUAAUAUUUUCAUAUUAGGAAAAAUUAAGUUAAUAUUAUAGUGCGUAUUUUGUUGGGGCGACAGAAAAAUUGAAUGAACUUUUUUUAUAUUAAACCAUUAAUUUAUGAUUCAGUGAUCCGUUAGUAGAACGAUUAUAAGAUUAAAUUACCUUAGGGAUAACAGCGUAAUUUUUUUUGAGAGUUCUUAUCGAAAGAAGAGUUUGCGACCUCGAUGUUGGAUUAAAAUUUACUUUUGGUGCACAAGCUAAAGGGUUAGGUCUGUUCGACCUUUAAAAUUAUACAUGAUCUGAGUUCAAACCGGAG
rnacentral:rRNA from 1 species